rnacentral:rRNA from 1 species
AUGAACGCUAGCUACAGGCUUAACACAUGCAAGUCGAGGGGCAGCAUCAUCAAAGCUUGCUUUGAUGGAUGGCGACCGGCGCACGGGUGAGUAACACGUAUCCAACCUGCCGACAACACUGGGAUAGCCUUUCGAAAGAAAGAUUAAUACCGGAUGGCAUAAUUAUUCCGCAUGGGAUAAUUAUUAAAGAAUUUCGGUUGUCGAUGGGGAUGCGUUCCAUUAGGCAGUUGGCGGGGUAACGGCCCACCAAACCUACGAUGGAUAGGGGUUCUGAGAGGAAGGUCCCCCACAUUGGAACUGAGACACGGUCCAAACUCCUACGGGAGGCAGCAGUGAGGAAUAUUGGUCAAUGGACGAGAGUCUGAACCAGCCAAGUAGCGUGAAGGAUGACUGCCCUAUGGGUUGUAAACUUCUUUUAUACGGGAAUAAAGUGAGCCACGUGUGGCUUUUUGUAUGUACCGUAUGAAUAAGGAUCGGCUAACUCCGUGCCAGCAGCCGCGGUAAUACGGAGGAUUCGAGCGUUAUCCGGAUUUAUUGGGUUUAAAGGGAGCGUAGGCGGGUUGUUAAGUCAGUUGUGAAAGUUUGCGGCUCAACCGUAAAAUUGCAGUUGAUACUGGCGACCUUGAGUGCAACAGAGGUAGGCGGAAUUCGUGGUGUAGCGGUGAAAUGCUUAGAUAUCACGAAGAACUCCGAUUGCGAAGGCAGCUUACUGGAUUGUAACUGACGCUGAUGCUCGAAAGUGUGGGUAUCAAACAGGAUUAGAUACCCUGGUAGUCCACACAGUAAACGAUGAAUACUCGCUGUUGGCGAUAUACGGUCAGCGGCCAAGCGAAAGCAUUAAGUAUUCCACCUGGGGAGUACGCCGGCAACGGUGAAACUCAAAGGAAUUGACGGGGGCCCGCACAAGCGGAGGAACAUGUGGUUUAAUUCGAUGAUACGCGAGGAACCUUACCCGGGCUUAAAUUGCAACUGACGGAACCGGAAACGGUUCUUUCUUCGGACAGUUGUGAAGGUGCUGCAUGGUUGUCGUCAGCUCGUGCCGUGAGGUGUCGGCUUAAGUGCCAUAACGAGCGCAACCCUUACGGGUAGUUACCAUCAGGUUAUGCUGGGGACUCUACCCGGACUGCCGUCGUAAGAUGUGAGGAAGGUGGGGAUGACGUCAAAUCAGCACGGCCCUUACGUCCGGGGCUACACACGUGUUACAAUGGGGGGUACAGAAGGCAGCUACACGGCGACGUGGUGCUAAUCCCAAAAGCCUCUCUCAGUUCGGAUUGGAGUCUGCAACCCGACUCCAUGAAGCUGGAUUCGCUAGUAAUCGCGCAUCAGCCACGGCGCGGUGAAUACGUUCCCGGGCCUUGUACACACCGCCCGUCAAGCCAUGAAAGCCAGGGGUACCUGAAGUACGUAACCGCGAGGAGCGUCCUAGGGUAAAACUGGUGAUUGGGGCU